AGCACUUUCAGUGGGGAGGAAGUAAUUGUCGUGAAUAUCGAUGAUUGUUGACGUUACCCAAAGAAGAAAGCACCGGCUAACUCUGUGC
rnacentral:rRNA from 1 species